AAUAAAUGCGGCACAGGUUCCAAGCAAAUGUAAUGUAGAAAACCAAUCAAAGGUUUGACACUCGAACCCAAACAUUAAACCCACUGCAAUGGACGGGAUACAUCAAUUAUCUUUUCACAAAAAUAAGAUAGUCCUAUUACUCAACAAAUAUACAUGCAUACUACUAUCUCAAAUGCCAAUUUCCACGGCAAAAUAAACUUGUAUGUCUAAUCGAAGAUGGGAUUUACUCUCAUGAAAGGUGGCUAUCCAGGCGAGCCGGGAGAGAGUUGUUCUUGGCCUACAUUUUAAGAUAAUGAUUAGAUAUAAAUCAUAUACCGAAACCAAUUUAUGAUGAUGUUACAAGUUAUAUGAGAAAUUGAAGAAAUUAAAAUUGCAUUUGACUAUAGUAAAAUCGCCAAUUUGAACCCCGAGGAAAUAGCUCUAAUAGGAUUUGCCUUUAAAAGAUUCGGGGUGAAUGAUGUCCGUUUGCAAUUUGUAAUUAUGAAAAUGAAAUUAAUCAACUCAAUGAUAGAUCCAUGUAUGAUAUCAAUGCGAUGGCAUAAAUUCUUGUACCAUUUAUUACUUUAUAUAUUCACGGAGCUAGAGGAAUUUGAAAACAUUGAAACCAAUAGAAAAAAAAGUACUCAAGUAAGAAAGCAACAUGAACAUAAGAAACAGCUUCUCUAGCAUACAAGGUGGCUGUGUCAUGAGUAAAUGAGUUGAUUUCUAGGAAUGCAGAUGGAAUCUUUAACGAGAAAAAUCGCCAAGCUAAUAUAUCUUUAGAGAAAAUGAGCAAGAAAAUAUACAAAGGAACAAAAAUCCUUAUGUCCAAAAAUUGAG
rnacentral:lncRNA from 1 species